rnacentral:lncRNA from 1 species
UUGCCUGUGACUCUCUUUCCACUGGUGCUAAAAAAUACUUUGCGUUGUUGAUAAUCACGGUAAGAUCCAUAAAAGAAACGGAUUGUUUUCCUAGCAGCCAGCUGAAGCUGAUAUAAACACAUGAACAUUAUGCUAUCAGUAUCCAUCACCAACAUUCCUAUUUUGUUUUAUUUUUAUUCUUUUUAGUUUUAUUAGAACUAAUUUUAUUGUUUUCCCUCUCAUAACAAUAGAUCUAAUUUUAUCACUAUUUCUAAUAGCUGUUAAUAUAACUCUAGGAUGGGGUUAUAACUGACCUCCAAGAAACCAAAGAUGCCCUCGUAAAAGCAUCAGAUCUCCCAUUGUCGAUCCUCAUUGUUGGAGUUGGAGGAGCUGACUUCAAAGAAAUGGAGGUACUUACUACAUGUACCAUCUCAUAUCCAUUUGAAGGAUAACGAUCUCUUCACAGAUCACCCUUUUGUUGUCAGUACUCGAUAUUUUAUGUUGUUGAAGGGACCCGUGCGAAGAUUCAUUUGGUUUAUCAACUAAAUUGCUUUUACAGAUUU